rnacentral:rRNA from 1 species
UAGGGAAUCUUCGGCAAUGGACGGAAGUCUGACCGAGCAACGCCGCGUGAGUGAAGAAGGUUUUCGGAUCGUAAAGCUCUGUUGUAAGAGAAGAACGAGUGUGAGAGUGGAAAGUUCACACUGUGACGGUAUCUUGCCAGAAAGGGACGGCUAACUACGUGCCAGCAGCCGCGGUAAUACGUAGGUCCCGAGCGUUGUCCGGAUUUAUUGGGCGUAAAGCGAGCGCAGGCGGUUAGAUAAGUCUGAAGUUAAAGGCUGUGGCUUAACCAUAGUAGGCUUUGGAAACUGUUUAACUUGAGUGCAAGAGGGGAGAGUGGAAUUCCAUGUGUAGCGGUGAAAUGCGUAGAUAUAUGGAGGAACACCGGUGGCGAAAGCGGCUCUCUGGCUUGUAACUGACGCUGAGGCUCGAAAGCGUGGGGAGCAAACAGGAUUAGAUACCCUGGUAGUCCACGCCGUAAACGAUGUCGACUAGCCGUUGGGAUCCUUGAGAUCUUAGUGGCGCAGCUAACGCGAUAAGUCGACCGCCUGGGGAGUACGGCCGCAAGGUUG